rnacentral:rRNA from 1 species
UGAACGCUGGCGGCAGGCCUAACACAUGCAAGCUCGAGCGGUAACACAGAGGAGCUUGCUCCUUGGGUGACGAGCGGCGGACGGGUGAGUAAUGCCUGGGGAUCUGCCCGAUAGAGGGGGAUAACUACGGGAAACUGUAGCUAAUACCGCAUAAUGUCUACGGACCAAAGUGGGGGCUCUUCGGACCUCAUGCUAUCGGAUGAACCCAGGUGGGAUUAGCUAGUUGGUGAGGUAAUGGCUCACCAAGGCGACGAUCUCUAACUGGUUUGAGAGAAUGACCAGUCACACUGGAACUGAGACACGGUCCAGACUCCUACGGGAGGCAGCAGUGGGGAAUAUUGCACAAUGGGCGCAAGCCUGAUGCAGCCAUGCCGCGUGUGUGAAGAAGGCCUUCGGGUUGUAAAGCACUUUCAGCGGGGAGGAAGGGUCACUAGUUAAUACCUAGUGGCAUUGACGUUACUCGCAGAAGAAGCACCGGCUAACUCCGUGCCAGCAGCCGCGGUAAUACGGAGGGUGCAAGCGUUAAUCGGAAUUACUGGGCGUAAAGCGCACGCAGGCGGUUUGUUAAGUCAGAUGUGAAAUCCCCGAGCUCAACUUGGGAACUGCAUUUGAAACUGGCAAGCUAGAGUUCUUGUAGAGG